UGAUAUUCCUAACUUUUAAAGCAUGGAAGAGAACAUCCUACUUCAGUGAGAUCAGCACAUUGUUUAGUAAAAAACCCUCUUACAAAACACUCCCUUUCUACUCUCUGAUUUGAUCUAUGUUCAUCAGGCAAUUUAAUCUUCACUUAAAUUCCAAGUUUUCUCAUGUAAAACUGAUGUACCCAGUAUAGCCCAUGAUUGCCUUCUUUUGUUUAAAGAAAGAGGCAAUCUUGUCUCUGCUUAUAUUUCACUCGGAAACAUGCAUAAUAUAUCUGUUGUUGCCCCGCAUAUUAGUAUAAGUAGGGGGAGGGAUCUAGCGCCAAAACAGAAGAAUCAGCCAAACAGAAACUAAGUAGACUUCCUUGGUAAUGUUCUUUUGGACACCGUACUGACAUCCAUCUGCAAAAUAUGUCCCCAUAAAAAUGGUCCAACACAGAGUUUUUGUUAUGAUUGAGCCUCAUGGCUCUGUUACUGACAGACGUGGGCGUAAGACUCCUCGAGAGUCAGAUACUCUCGAGGAGCGAGAAAGAAAAAGACUGCGAGACAUUUUUGCAGCACCAUCUGACGAAGAGUCUUUUGAGGGGUUUACGGAGAGAAUGGAGGAGGGGCUGGUUAGCUCGGAGGAGGAUGAGAUGGAUUGGACUCGGGUAAGGGAGGAAUUGGGUGCCACUGGUCAUGAUGGGAUAGAAGCUGAAUGGGGACCUUCAGGAUUAGACCCAUGGCUUAGCUGGAGGGAUGGGACGGGAUCCACAGCUGGAGAUGCUGUGGGGCGUAGUCAGAGGUGUUCCAGCUCUGAUGAGGAAAGUGAUGAGGAAACGCCCGGGUUAAGGAGGACAGCUGACAGUGAUGAGGAUUUGUAACUGGCAUAAAAUGGGGCUUGGGAGCAAUUGCAAAUUGCGUUGGGCAAGGUAAUCUGGACGAACGCUUGGGAUCUGUGUGGGACGCUUUCCUGAAGACUGGUGUGUUUUCCUGUGCUGAGACCUUGACCUUCCGUCGUCUUCUUGACGGACGCCAUCUCCUGUUUUGAAAACUCGGACUGAACUGACCACGGCUUGUCUUCCCCCCUUCUUGGACUUGGAAUCUACAAACGUCUGCUUCUGGCUUUGAACUACGGAAAGGAACUGGGUCUACUCUACUGCUACAAUCCUUGGCUGAUCUGUUCGUGUUGGGAAUCCUGUCUGCUGUGUGUGUGGGAGCGACGCAAGUUACUCUAAGCACAGUGUUGGCAGCAGAGAGGAAUCUGCUGCCAAUUAGUUGCAUUCUUUUGUAUCUUUUGUUCCUCGGCUUUUGUUUUGUUUAUCCCCAGGCUGAAGCAAGCAGUUUGUUUUUACCCGGAUUAAACUCCGGUUUAAUCCGGUUUAUCUUUUGAACGUUUUUCCUUGCCCCUUUUUGCUCCUAAAGGCUAAUACUGCCUGGCCCUUGUAUUUUACGGGCAUUUUUGAGUUCUGUAAUCCAAUAAACUCUGUUAUCUUGAA